rnacentral:lncRNA from 1 species
UCCAAGGCUUCUCUUAUUAUGUUUUUUGGAACUCGACCUGGUCCUAGUGGGUUUGACAGUUCCAAAAGAAGCCUCGAUUGAGGAGGAGGACCCUUUCUUAACUAAUUUCCAUGACAAGGGCUUGUUAUCAUCACUGUUUGAGUCAUCUUUGCCACCCUUAUUCGCUCUUAAUAAAUCAAGAACAGGUGGAAGUACCAUAUUUUCAUCAUUAACAUUUUUAGGGUGGUCAUUUUGCCUCCUAGUAAAUAAUAUUGGAGAGGGUGUUUCCCACCUAAGAGGUUUAGCACUUAAAGCAGUCAAACCCUGUACCCCUAUUUCCUCACUCAUGGCCUAGGUAUUUGAAGAAGUUGUUUUGGAAGUAGGAAAGUCCUCAAACAGGUUUUCAUCUAGAGAGGUGCUUCCUGAUUUGCUAGUGGACUUAGAUUUAUUAGAUGAAAGAGUUUUAGAGGAUGAGUCCAAACCCUUACAUAAAGGAACAGUAUGGU